GAUGAACGCUAGCUACAGGCUUAACACAUGCAAGUCGAGGGGAAACGAUAUUGGAAGCUUGCUUCUGAUAGGCGUCGACCGGCGCACGGGUGAGUAACGCGUAUCCAACCUGCCCAUCACUUGGGGAUAACCUUGUGAAAGUAAGACUAAUACCCAAUGACGUCUCUAGAAGACAUCUGAAAGAGAUUAAAGAUUUAUCGGUGAUGGAUGGGGAUGCGUCUGAUUAGCUUGUUGGCGGGGUAACGGCCCACCAAGGCGACGAUCAGUAGGGGUUCUGAGAGGAAGGUCCCCCACAUUGGAACUGAGACACGGUCCAAAACUCCUACGGGAGGCAGCAGUGAGGAAUAUUGGUCAAUGGGACGAGAGUCUGAACCAGCCAAGUAGCGUGCAGGAUGACGGCCCUAUGGGUUGUAAACUGCUUUUAUAAGGGAAUAAAGCGAGUCUCGUGAGGCUUUUUGCAUGUACCUUAUGAAUAAGGACCGGCUAAAUUCCGUGCCAG
rnacentral:rRNA from 1 species